UGGUUCUGGCAUCGAUGAAGAACGCAGCGAAAUGCGAUAAGUAAUGUGAAUUGCAGAAUUCAGUGAACCAUCGAAUCUUUGAACGCACAUUGCGCCCGCCAGCACUCUGGCGGGCAUGCCUGUCCGAGCGUCAUCAAAACCCUCGCGGCCCCCCAGGGGGGCGCGGUGCUGGGGGACGGCCCGGGCCGCCCCCGAAACGCAGUGGCGAUCUCGCCGCGGCCUCCCCUGCGCAGUAGCACACCUCUCGCACCGGAGCGCGGAGACGAUCACGCCGUAAAACGCCCCGAUCCACGAAGUUGACCUCGGAUCAGGUAGGAGUACCCGCUGA
rnacentral:misc_RNA from 1 species